AAGCAGCAUCACAAUACAAAAACAUCUGUGUUUGUUUUGAUCUACAUCAAUAUUUAGAUUGUUUAAAAAACAUUUGAGUGUUAUAACUAGCAUGGAGGAACUGUUCUUUGUGUAUGCGGCAAUUGUUGAGGAGAAGGAAUCGAGGGGUAGGAGGAAAAUUUUGAAGGUUUUACGAGACAAAAGCGAUCCUUUUACUAUGCAAGACACAACAUUUACAAAUACAUUUCGAUUCCCAAAAUCGCUAUGUAAAAUACUUAUAGGUGAAUUGGUGCCGCAUGAUGUGCAGAAGUCGAGUAUAUCUUUUGAUCUGCGUUUCCUGACAUGUUUGUAUUUUUACGGAUUUUACACGAAAUUUGGGAUGAAGGGCACAAUCGGCCCAUAUUGGGAUUGUUUCACACUCAAGCACAGACGCCACUACUCCUCUCUCACUCUUCAUGAACCAGAAAGGAUUUUAGAGCCUUAAUAUAGAAGCAGUUUGUGAUCAUCGAUUUCUGUUCACCGCUAUCAACGCGAGAUAUCCCGGGUCUUGCCAUGAUUCUGGUAUUUGGACCACAUCCCCAACACGUAUGCACCUCACAAGUGAAUAUAAGACGCAAAGUGAUUCGUGGUUGUUAGGUGAUCAAGGAUAUCCAUUGGAGCCAUGGCUGUUAACGCAGUCCAGAGAUAAAGAGAUGUUUAACUCCUCUCUCACUGGAAG